rnacentral:rRNA from 1 species
UAGGGAAUCUUCCGCAAUGGACGAAAGUCUGACGGAGCAACGCCGCGUGAGUGAAGAAGGAUUUCGGUUCGUAAAACUCUGUUGUUAGGGAAGAAAAAAUGUAUAGUAACUAUAUACAAAAGAGACGGUACCUAACCAGAAAGCCACGGCUAACUACGUGCCAGCAGCCGCGGUAAUACGUAGGUGGCAAGCGUUGUCCGGAAUUAUUGGGCGUAAAGCGCGCGCAGGUGGUUUAGAAAGUCUGAUGUGAAAGCCCACGGCUCAACCGUGGAGGGUCAUUGGAAACUAAUAAACUUGAGUGCAGGAGAGAAAAGUGGAAUUCCUAGUGUAGCGGUGAAAUGCGUAGAGAUUAGGAGGAACACCGGUGGCGAAAGCGACUUUUUGGCCUGCAACUGACACUGAGGCGCGAAAGCGUGGGGAGCAAACAGG